rnacentral:lncRNA from 1 species
AUGGGCCUGCUCCAGUUGGUUCUCAAUCUCACCCCUUUACUAGCAGGACACUACCAUCCUGAUUUCCCAUUAUUGGAAAAAGCUCAGUAACUGCUCCAAAGCACAGGAUCCCCUUACUCCACCAAUUGCUGGUUAUGUACCAGCUCUUCUGCUAAAACGGCAGGGAGAGCUUAUUCAGCCUCACCAAGAGAUUGGACAAGUAUAAAGGCAGAACUGCAUAUUUUCUAUCAAUGGGAGGCUAAUGGGAGAUGUUUGGGCCUGCAAAUAGCCUUCUUGCAAAAGUAAAGCAAGAUUUCCCUGAUAUCUGCAAAGAACCUCCCAAUUUUGGAUCCAUCUUUUCUAAUACCACUUUAAUGGGACUAGCCCCUAUUUGCAUUACGGCCAAUAAGAAAAAUGGAAUGGAUGUUGGGGCUCUUUCCAGUACAGUUAGCAAUGUUACUCUCACUGUAGAUCCUAACCAACGAACUUGCCAAACGUACACCCACAACUAAUUCUACCAUCACACAAGAUUUCCCAAACCUUCAAAUAUUACCUUUCCUCUGGGAACUUUGCUGGAUAAAUCCACCCAGUUUUGCCAGGGACACCCAAGCUCCUGCAGUAUUCAAAAUUUCUGGUUCCGGCCUGCUGAUACAACCAAUGCCUGCAAAUUGCCAAUCUCAUUUCUACAGAAGAAUGGGUUCUAUUGGACCAGACUCAAAAUUCUCUUUUUUAGGAAAAUAAAACCAAGGGAACUAAACAGAACCAAAGCCCAUGCACAUAAGUCUUAGCAGGCAUGACUAUAGCCACCAGCUACCUGGGUGUGUUGGCAGCCUUGGCAUUUCUUGGAGCUGUCCUCACCCCCUUGUUUCAUUUUUACAUCUCUACUUAUCUUAAAACCCAAGGAGCCUUCUAUAUUUGUGGCCAGCCAGUUCACCAGUGCCUCCCCACUAACCGGACUGGAACUUGUACCAUAGGCUAUGUAUCCCUAGACAUCUUCAUAGUCCCUGGCAAUCUCUCUCUUCCAGCACCAAUCUACAGGCAUUCCAUCUUUUCCAGGAUGAGGAGGGCUAUCCAAUUAAUUCUCCUU